UGGUUCGAAUCCAGGGCGGUAAGGCACCGGUUUUUGAUACCGGCAUUCCCUGGUUCGAAUCUAGGUACCCCAGCCA
rnacentral:tRNA from 1 species